AGCAGAAAUGUAACCCUGUUUACACUGCAUUGUUGUCUUCUGGGAUUUAAAUCCCUAUUAAAAAUGCUGCAUGCUGGUCUUACUUUGAGCUCUGCAUGCAGUUCACCUGUCAGUUUGAAGCCACUAAAAUGGCCCCAGCUGAAAGGGGAGAGCCCCAGGUUACAUGGGAUCUACGCAUUUAGUUAAAUGCAUUUGAAUGCCAAUUGAGGA